rnacentral:rRNA from 1 species
AUGGAGCUUUAGACACCAAGGCAGCUUACGUUAAGCACCCCCGAUAAAGGACUAAACCAAGUAAGCCCUACCCUAAUGUCUUUGGUUGGGGCGACCGCGGGGAACUAAAUAACCCCCACGUGGAACGGGAGAACCCCCUCCUACAGCUAAGAGCUACAGCUCUAGUAAACAGAAUUUCUGACCAAUAAGAUCCGGCAAUGCCGAUCAACGGACCA